rnacentral:lncRNA from 1 species
CAAGACCCCCCAACGGAAAAAUGGCCAAAAAACGGGUGGGCUAUAGCCGUGGUGGGGGGCAUGGGCGAAGUUCGUCCGCUGGACUCGGAAUGGCCCCAGACUUUGCGGUCGGCCUCCGUGUGCCAAAAUUAGGCCACGGGCACACCCGCGCCCAAAAAUCAGCCCCCGAAGGUCGGGGAGCCAAGACCCCCCAGCGGAAAAAUGGCCAAAAAACGGGUGGGCUAUCGCCUUGGUGGGGGGCGUGUGCGAAGUUCGUCCGCCGGACUCGGAAUGGCCCCAGACUUUGCGGGCGGCCUCCGUGUGCCACAAAUACGCCACGGGCACAGCUGCGCCCAAAAAUCAGCCCCCGAUGGUCGGGGUGCCAAGACCCCCCAUCGGAAAAAUGGCCAAAAAACGGGUGGGCUAUAGCCUUGGUGGGGGGCGUGGGCGAAGUUCGUCCGCGCGGACUCGGAAUGGUCCCAGACUUUGCGGGCGGCCUCCGUGUGCCAAAAUUAGGCCACGGGCACAGCUGCGCAGAAAAAUCAGCCCCCGAAGGUCGGAGUGCCAACACCCUCCAGCGGAAAAAUAGCCAAAAAACGGGUGGGCUAUAGCCUUGGUGGGUGGCGUGGGCGAAGUUCGUCCGCCGGACUCGGAAUGGCCCCAGACUUUGCGGGCGGCCUCCGUUGGCCAAUAUUAGGCAACGGGCACAGCCGCGCCCAAAAAUCAUCCCCCGAAGGUCGGGGUGCUAAGACCCCCCAGCGGAAAAAUGGCCAAAAAACGGGUGGGCUAUAGCCUUGGUGGGGGGCGUGGGCGAAGUUCGUCCGCCGGACUCGGAAUGGCCCCAGACUUUGCGGGCGGCCUCCGUGUGCCAAAAUUAAGCCACGGGAACACCCGCGCCCAAAAUCAGCCCCCGAA